rnacentral:rRNA from 1 species
GACGAACGCUGGCGGCGUGCCUAAUACAUGCAAGUAGGACGCAGUUGCGAACGGGUGAGUAACGCGUAGGUAACUACCUAUUAGAGGGGGAUAACUAUUGGAAACGAUAGCUAAUACCGCAUACUAGUAGCUGGACCUGCGUUGUAUUAGCUAGUAGGUAGGGUAAUGGCCUACCAAGGCAACGAUACAUAGCCGACCUGGUAGGGUGGUCGGCCACACUGGGACUGAGGAACGGCCCAGAAUCCUACGGGAGGCAGCAGUAGGGGAUCUUCGGGAAUGGGGGGAACCCUGGACGAGCAACGCCGCGGGAGUUAAGGAGGGUUUCGGAUCGUAAAGCUCUGUUGUUAAGGAAGCGGUACUUAACCAGAAAGGGACGGCUAACUACGUGCCAGCAGCCGCGGUAAUAC